rnacentral:lncRNA from 1 species
UCACGCAGAGCCACGUAUAAUUACAGACUAAUGCCGGAGCAUCCGCAAUCGUGGCAGGUGGCACAUAAUCGCGGCCUCGUAACCCUCGAACGAGUUAAUCCGUGAGACGUCGCGCCGUUUCCCGCGACGCCUGCAACCAGUGUCAUCUCGUCGUCGCCGUUAGACGUCGUCGACGUCGACGGCUCUGCGUGGUUGUCGUCGCCGGUGAAAUCGUCGGGCAACAGACGACAUUUAAAAGUAGCUAUAUAGCGGGACUUGAUCCGCUUACCGGGUUUAAAAGUCAAGUGCUAAAAGCGCAAUUCAUCCCAUCCAGCCGAGAUAUAGUGGGGAGAAGGUGGAGACCGGAGGAAAUCGGCUGUGGAGAAGUUUCUAGGAAGACGAUAGAGGAAACAUAGUUGGCUGUUCUCGCUCUGGUGUCUCUGCUCGUCGUCGUUCCGACCACUUCGUUCAACGGCUCAUUUUAUUUUCCAACGCGAGAAGGUAUCGUUCGUCCCGUAUGAAAGUCUGCCUGUCUUCUUUCUCCCUUUUCUUGUUUCUUUUCUUUCUUUCGUACCGGCUUCGUUCGUUUCGUUCGUCCGUCUCGCGCUCUCGUUUCUAGUUUCUGUGUUUCUAUUUUCUGCCUCUUCCAAGAUUGGAGGGUUGACGGAGCGGAAACAAGGGGUGACUGCGUCCUUUCUCUGCCACACGGUUUUUUUCUCUUCUUUCUGUUUGCGCGCCGCUCGAGUGGCACCGUUUACCGAAGCUGUAGGUACGUAGUACGUAUUAUUGCGACGGCAAUCGUUCCCGGGAUAAGCAAUGAAAUUUCAAAGUCUAGAAUUUACCCUCUAAGGACUUGUUCAUAUUGCUUCGUCCAAGUCUUGUAUAUUGACAUUUGUGGUUUUGAAAUAUUUCAUGUUUCGUGUGUUCUUUUCUUUAACUGUGUUAUUAUGUUAAGUAUUAGUAUCCAGGAAUCUGUUUUUACAAUCGUCUGUCUGCGAUAAUCAAAUCGAUAGAAUUCACACAAGUAAUUCAUUUUUCAUUACUUCUGACAGUAAGAAUUACUUCUAUAAAAUUUGUCCCCUUCAUCUAAUUACUCUUAGAUAAUUAUUCUUGGGUAAAGCAUUCACUUAAAUGAUCGUUAACUGUUCCCUAUUAAUUUUCCUAACUACCUAUCAUGUCGUAACUACAUAACAUCCAAACUAUUGGAACGUUACAUUAUGUAUGUAUGUCUGUAAUUUCUGCCUGAUGGUCCUUAGUCUGUGAAACGCGGAAACUAAAAUCGAGGUUCAAACCCGAGUAUGUUGCAAUUAAAAUCCGUUUAUUGAAUGCAUACCAUUAUGAAUACCGUAAAUAUGAUUCGACAUCAUAAAGCAAACGAUUCUCUAUAAAGCAGACGAUUAUUUUGCAAUUUAACCAUUUUCUACAUUUUAGUACUAAAACACAAUCAGCGCUCACAUUUUCAGAAAUUAAACUAUUGAAAGUUGAUCGAUUUGGCUUUUGUACGAUUCAAUUAUAAAAGUAAGCGAACGAAGACGACAUAGCGUUUCCACUGAAGUCUUGUCGUGAUAUUGCGAUAUUCGUGGAUAGGCUAGCAUCUGUUUCGCAAACUCCUCCUCUCCCAGUUAUUUAUCAGCUUCGUAACUUAUUGAGUGUACGUAAUCGACCACAAUAAACAAUUAUUCCAAACAUUUUAGCAUUAUAACGAGUUGAUGUAUUGAUUGAUAAAUGUUUUUAGAUAAAGUAAUGCGAAAUACUAAUUUAAAAUAUCGAGAAGUUCCGAUAACAGGGACAUUUCCGAGAAGAAUUGGGCGGCGCAAAUUCGCACGAAUGACGAACGUUCUCUGAUAAGACUGUUACAAUAUAUGUAUAUGUGUACAUAUGUUUAAAGCUAUUUUACAAUGUUUUCGCGAAUACAAUUUACAACAAGAUCAUUGAUCGUGUGAUUAUCUGCCAUUUGGAACGAAGUCCUAAUAAUGAUAAUUUUCGUUGUAGGACGAUUAUUGAGGACUGUAUUGAAUAAUUUUAUACGUGGUGUAAAAAAAUAGGAUUAGAUUCAAGAAAGUUUUACUCGAGGAAUGAAUGAGUGAUUCGUCUUGGUUAUUUAUCAAAAGGAUUUGAAGGUUUUCAUAAAAAGCAUAGAGACUCUGAGCAUAGAAUUAACAAAAAGGGAAGAACGAAUUUUUCUUCAUUUCUUGGAACUAUUUCUUGAUUCGAGGAUCGAAAGCAGGAUUUAAGUCUUAUCUAAUCCUCUAUAUAAUAUAUUCUGCCUUAUUUUAUCAAUAACUUUCUUAAACAUAAUCAGGUAUUUCAUGAAACUUUUCAUAUUCCCCAGCUCAUCAUCGAACUACUAGGUAUCCAACUCUCAUACAAUUGUUGAACAAAUCCACUACUGCAGUUUCUACGAUUCGUACUCAAUUAAGUUGUUUACUGUUUAUCAGAGCUUCAGCACACGAUCGUGCGCAAAAUUUCGUUCGAUGUGAGCGAAGCUUAAAGCAUGAAACGGCUGCUUUGAGUCAACGACACCUGUGUGUUGGUAGCGUUGCAGCGGGAACGUGAGACAGGCAGCAAGAAAUAGAGGAGACAGAGGGUACAUCGGGUGGGAUGAGGGUUGCCAGGACCAAUCUCAACACGAAGCAGAGUUUUCAAGCCACUUCACCACGCCAGGCUUGUAACAUACACUCAACUUCCUUCCAUUAUCAUAUUUCAUGACGUAACCACUAGAUAUUCAGAGAAAUUUACAAAUUAUCGGCCAUAAACAAUCCACCGAUGGCUGAUUCCCAAGGGGUGAAAUAAGAGGGUGACGAGAAUCAGGAAAAUUAGAUGCAUCCUUCGAAGAUUGAAUAUAGGAAUUACGCAGCGGAAUCGACGUGAUGUAAUUUACGUAAUGGAAUAGAAAGACGCAAGGGAGAAGAAUGCAAAAACGCGAUAGACGUCCCAUUUAAAUGGCUCCGUUUCUUGUUUACCCUCGGCUUUAGCCUCUGGCAGCCAGCGUAGGUUUGUGCACGACUCUCGUUGACUCGUCAGCCGAUUUAAGCGGCGAAUUUAUCGCGACCAGCUGGUCCGCGUAACGAGAGGGUGGAAUGCACGGGGUACUUCUUGCGGUGUGGUAGAUUGGAUACGCGGAGUGGGUUUUAAUGAGGCGGUAUUGCUGUUGGGACCAUUCAGAUCGCCCUGGGAUGAAGAUGCGUCUUUGGAUCGGAAGAAUAAUUGUAUCGGUACGAUAGAUCCUCGGGUAAAUUUGUCGUGGUUUCAGAAGAAACCGCACAGUUUAUAAUUGAAUAAUACACAAACUAUGUACGUAUAUCCAGGAAUAAUUUCUCCAAAUAUCUCUAAAUAGGGCAUC